UGACACCAAAACGUGUGCAAACAAGCUAAAAUGACCAUAUUUCAUCAGCAAUUCAUGCUUUGCCUACUUGUUUUAACACGCGCACCAUUUGACAAAUUUUCAACCCUAUCUCAUAUGAUUUGAGAUCUAUUUGGCAUGUGUGAGCCUCCUAUUUCAUUACCUAUAAAUAGGAAAGUGAUUUGGCUUCAUUUGAUAGCUUGAAAAGCCAGAAAAAC
rnacentral:lncRNA from 1 species